UACGUAGGUGGCGAGCGUUGUCCGGAUUUACUGGGCGUAACGAGCGCGCAGGCGGUCGUGCAAGUCGCGUGUGAAAGCCCCCGGCUCAACUGGGGAGGGUCACGCGAUACUGCUCGACUCGAAGGCAGGAGAGGGAAGUGGAAUUCCCGGUGUAGUGGUGAAAUGCGUAGAUAUCGGGAGGAACACCAGUGGCGAAGGCGACUUCCUGGCCUGUUCUUGACGCUGAGGCGCGAAAGCUAGGGUAGCAAACGGG
rnacentral:rRNA from 1 species